rnacentral:rRNA from 1 species
CGACUCUCUGGUCUGUAACUGACGCUGAGGAGCGAAAGCGUGGGGAGCGAACAGGAUUAGAUACCCUGGUAGUCCACGCCGUAAACGAUGAGUGCUAAGUGUUAGGGGGUUUCCGCCCCUUAGUGCUGCAGCUAACGCAUUAAGCACUCCGCCUGGGGAGUACGGUCGCAAGACUGAAACUCAAAGGAAUUGACGGGGGCCCGCACAAGCGGUGGAGCAUGUGGUUUAAUUCGAAGCAACGCGAAGAACCUUACCAGGUCUUGACAUCCUCUGACAAUCCUAGAGAUAGGACGUCCCCUUCGGGGGCAGAGUGACAGGUGGUGCAUGGUUGUCGUCAGCUCGUGUCGUGAGAUGUUGGGUUAAGUCCCGCAACGAGCGCAACCCUUGAUCUUAGUUGCCAGCAUUCAGUUGGGCACUCUAAGGUGACUGCCGGUGACAAACCGGAGGAAGGUGGGGAUGACGUCAAAUCAUCAUGCCCCUUAUGACCUGGGCUACACACGUGCUACAAUGGACAGAACAAAGGGCAGCGAAACCGCGAGGUUAAGCCAAUCCCACAAAUCUGUUCUCAGUUCGGAUCGCAGUCUGCAACUCGACUGCGUGA